rnacentral:rRNA from 1 species
AGUGAACGCUGGCGGCGUGCCUAAUACAUGCAAGUCGAACGGAGAUUAAGUAGCUUGCUAUUUAAUCUUAGUGGCGCACGGGUGAGUAAUAUAUAGCUAACUUGCCCAUUACUAAGGGACAACAGUUGGAAACGACUGCUAAUACCUUAUACUCCGUAUCUAUAUAAGUAGAUACGGGAAAGUUUUUCGGUAAUGGAUAGGUCUAUAUCGUAUCAGCUAGUUGGUAAGGUAAUGGCUUACCAAGGCUAUGACGCGUAACUGGUCUGAGAGGAUGAUCAGUCAAACUGGAAGUGAGACACGGUCCAGACUCCUACGGGAGGCAGCAGUAGGGAAUAUUGCUAAAUGGGGGAAACCCUGAAGCAGCAACGCCGCGUGGAGGAUGACACUUUUCGGAGCGUAAACUCCUUUUCUUGGGAAAGAAUUAUGACGGUACCCAAGGAAUAAGCACCGGCUAACUCCGUG